rnacentral:lncRNA from 12 species
UUUGUUCUCAGAAUAUCAUCUUUAUUAGCAUAUAAGGUGCAGAACGGACAGGGGAAUCCAAUGGAUAUUCAUGUGGACUCUGUAAAGAAUGCAAGGGCGAAGAAGAACCAACACAACUGUGUCGGUGGCAUGUGUGAGUGGAGGCCAAGCUUGAAAAAAAGAAGGAGCAUUCCCAGCUGGCUGGGGACAACUUGGAGGAGGUAAUUCUGACAGCGUUAGAUGACUC